rnacentral:rRNA from 1 species
UACGAAGGGGGCUAGCGUUGUUCGGAAUCACUGGGCGUAAAGGGCGCGUAGGCGGCCUGAUAGGUCGGGGGUGAAAGCCUGUGGCUCAACCACAGAAUUGCCUUCGAUACUGUUAGGCUUGAGACCGGAAGAGGUAAGUGGAACUGCGAGUGUAGAGGUGAAAUUCGUAGAUAUUCGCAAGAACACCAGUGGCGAAGGCGGCUGACUGGUCCGGUUCUGACGCUGAGGCGCGAAAGCGUGGGGAGCAAACAGG